AGUGGUUCUAGUAAUGUUCAACAUAGAACGAAUGCUUGAAAAUUUAACAUCUGAAUUCAUAUUCUGUAUUAGAGUAGCAAUAGUGGGGCAGUUUUACUAAAGAGAUGCUUAGCAUUCAUCUUGCUUUAUAUCUGAGCUAUCUUAAUACUAACAUAGGCUUGAACCAAAAAGGAAAAUGAUACACACACCUGUCCAACUGCUGCCAUUGCUCUAAAGCAUAUUUUUAACUAAUAUGUAGAGAUGGAUACUGGUGGCAUGGAACAGUACUCUUGGGAUCUGUGCCUGAAAGCAUCUGCUUUUUGUUGCUGCAUUUUAAAAGAGAGCUGGUCCAUAACUUUUACGGUGGUGUAAAAUCCUAAACUGGUUCAACUGUUUAAAGGCAUUCCAAUUAGGUAUUCAGAUGCCCAUUAAGAACAAUCCUUUACUGCUUCAUGUUGUGGAAAUUCUGUAUAUCUUUUUAUAAAGUCACGAUACCUAGCAUUACCAACAUGUAUACAAAAUUUACUUGUUUGCUGUUUUUAUAUUGUAUGCUAUGUGAAUAAUUCUGUGGGCAUUGUUCCAGGGUACAUGUAUAAGUGAGAGAGGUUUUUAUUUAACCUUCUGCAAAGCAACAUUUGUGAAGUUUUCUUUACAGAUUUAUUAAUAAAGAGUUCUUAGGAAAUUACUUUGAGAGCCAAAGAUGGUUGCAGCUGUCUUAUGAAUGCAAGAUUCUUUUAUAUAUAUAUUAUUCUUCAGAGCUUUGAUUCUCUACAGUGACUUACAAAUAUGCAAAAAAACACAUUUUUCUUUAACUCUUCAUUUAGACAAGCCCAGGUCCUCCUCCCCACCCCCAUGUUCAUUGUAAGACUUCUGCAGGCCAGCUGAUAAGAUUCCCUCCUCUGCAGGUUUUUGUAGUGCUUCAAAAACCUAUUUUCCCAAAGAGAACAAGACAGG